GAACGGCAGCGCGGGAGCAAUCCUGGCGGCGAGUGGCGAACGGGUGAGUAAUACAUCGGAACGUGCCCAAUCGUGGGGGAUAACGCAGCGAAAGCUGUGCUAAUACCGCAUACGAUCUACGGAUGAAAGCAGGGGAUCGCAAGACCUUGCGCGAAUGGAGCGGCCGAUGGCAGAUUAGGUAGUUGGUGAGGUAAAGGCUCACCAAGCCUUCGAUCUGUAGCUGGUCUGAGAGGACGACCAGCCACACUGGGACUGAGACACGGCCCAGACUCCUACGGGAGGCAGCAGUGGGGAAUUUUGGACAAUGGGCGAAAGCCUGAUCCAGCCAUGCCGCGUGCAGGAUGAAGGCCUUCGGGUUGUAAACUGCUUUUGUACGGAACGAAACGGUCUUUUCUAAUAAAGAAGGCUAAUGACGGUACCGUAAGAAUAAGCACCGGCUAACUACGUGCCAGCAGCCCGCGGGUAAUAC
rnacentral:rRNA from 1 species